rnacentral:rRNA from 1 species
GACGAACGCUGGCGGCGUGCUUAACACAUGCAAGUCGAACGGAAAGGCCCCUUCGGGGGUACUCGAGUGGCGAACGGGUGAGUAACACGUGAGUAACCUGCCCUUGACUUCGGGAUAACUUCAGGAAACUGGGGCUAAUACCGGAUAGGAAUCCUUGCUGCAUGGUGGGGGUUGGAAAGCUUCGGCGGUUUUGGAUGGACUCGCGGCUUAUCAGCUUGUUGGUGGGGUAGUGGCUUACCAAGGCUUUGACGGGUAGCCGGCCUGAGAGGGCGACCGGCCACAUUGGGACUGAGAUACGGCCCAGACUCCUACGGGAGGCAGCAGUGGGGAAUAUUGCACAAUGGGCGGAAGCCUGAUGCAGCAACGCCGCGUGCGGGAGGACGGCCUUCGGGUUGUAAACCGCUUUCAGCAGGGGCGAAGCUUGUGGUGACGGUACCUGCAGAAGAAGCACCGGCUAACUACGUG